rnacentral:lncRNA from 1 species
CAACAUAGAAAAACUAAAGACAAGCAACAGUAUACAAACCAAAUAUAGAAAACUUAGAAAAAGCAACAAUACAAAACACAACAUCAAAACUUUAAGAUAUAUCAGUAUACAAAACACAGCAUAGAAUAAAAAAGUAACAACAGUAUACAAUUAUACAUCAACUAAAACUAUAGACAGACAGCAAUAUACAAGACACACAUAGAAAAAUAAAGACAAACAACGGUAUUGAAAACACACAUAGAAAACUAACGACAAAACAAC